CUACGGGUUGCACCAGUGGGGAAUAUUGCACAAUGGGCGAAAGCCUGAUGCAGCAACGCCGCGUGAGGGACGACGGCCUUCGGGUUGUAAACCUCUUUUAGCAGGGAAGAAGCGAAAGUGACGGUACCUGCAGAAAAAGCACCGGCUAACUACGUGCCAGCAGCCGCGGUAAUACGUAGGGUGCAAGCGUUGUCCGGAAUUAUUGGGCGUAAAGAGCUCGUAGGCGGUUUGUCGCGUCUGCUGUGAAAAUCCGAGGCUCAACCUCGGACCUGCAGUGGGUACGGGCAAACUAGAGUGCGGUAGGGGAGAUUGGAAUUCCUGGUGUAGCGGUGGAAUGCGCAGAUAUCAGGAGGAACACCAAUGGCGAAGGCAGAUCUCUGGGCCGUAACUGACGCUGAGGAGCGAAAGCGUGGGGAGCGAACAGGAUUAGAUACCCGGGUAGUC
rnacentral:rRNA from 1 species